UUCCAACCAAAUAGGUCAAAGCCCCUGAAAAAAACAACCAUGUUUGCUCAGAUGCUGGCGGAUCUACGGGAGCCCACAGCCAAAGGUCAAGUAAACGAAUAUGAUGUUAGCCGUGUUUUUGUGUCACACAUCACAACUCUAUCACAGGCAUGGAUUAAUGUUGGAUCUUGAUUAGUCUUGUUCCCAUUCCCAGCUGAAUCUAGGUUGGAUCUUGAUUAGUCUUGUUCCCAUUCCCAGCUGAAUCUAGGUUGGAUCUUGAUUAGUCUUGUUCCCAUUCCCAGCUGAAUCUAGGUUGGAUCUUGAUUAGUCUUGUUCCCAUUCCCAGCUGAAUCUAGGUUGGAUCUUGAUUAGUCUUGUUCCCAUUCCCAGCUGAAUCUAGGUUGGAUCUUGAUUAGUCUUGUUCCCAUUCCCAGCUGAAUCUAGGUUGGAUCUUGAUUAGUCUUGUUCCCAUUCCCAGCUGAAUCUAGGUUGGAUCUUGAUUAGUCUUGUUCCCAUUCCCAGCUGAAUCUAGGUUGGAUCUUGAUUAGUCUUGUUCCCAUUCCCAGCUGAAUCUAGGUUGGAUCUUGAUUAGUCUUGUUCCCAUUCCCAGCUGAAUCUAGGUUGGAUCUUGAUUAGUCUUGUUCCCAUUCCCAGCUGAAUCUAGGUUGGAUCUUGAUUAGUCUUGUUCCCAUUCCCAGCUGAAUCUAGGUUGGAUCUUGAUUAGUCUUGUUCCCAUUCCCAGCUGAAUCUAGGUUGGAUCUUGAUUAGUCUUGUUCCCAUUCCCAGCUGAAUCUAGGUUGGAUCUUGAUUAGUCUUGUUCCCAUUCCCAGCUGAAUCUAGGUUGGAUCUUGAUUAGUCUUGUUCCCAUUCCCAGCUGAAUCUAGGUUGGAUCUUGAUUAGUCUUGUUCCCAUUCCCAGCUGAAUCUAGGUUGGAUCUUGAUUAGUCUUGUUCCCAUUCCCAGCUGAAUCUAGGUUGGAUCUUGAUUAGUCUUGUUCCCAUUCCCAGCUGAAUCUAGGUUGGAUCUUGAUUAGUCUUGUUCCCAUUCCCAGCUGAAUCUAGGUUGGAUCUUGGUUUAGUGACUUCAGUCCCAUGAAUGAAGGUAUGAGGUAGAAUGACCAGGGGCUGUUACCAUAGCUCUGAAAUAGUCAUCUGUGUGGUCAGAUGAUGAUUUGGGGACGAAGCUAGAAACUGAUUAUCUCUCUCUCUCCAUCUCUUUCUCCUCUGUCGUCUUUCUCAAUCUCUCCACCUCCUCUUCCUCAAUCUCUCUCUCUUAGACCCUCUCCCUCUCGUCUGUCAAUGUCCUCUGUCCCUCUUCCUCCUCCUCUUCAAAUCUCUCCCUCCCUUUCUCUCUGUCUGUCUGUUUGAGGGAGCGGUGUGGAUCCUCUGUCCAAUAGUCGUUUAAUGUCAGUAUUAGCUCCAGUGACAUUUUGUGCUCAAAGACUAUUUUUCACUUGAUACUGUUGACAGAACUGCAAAUGACUGACAGCAACAACGACCAAGGCUUCAGCGCGUGCUUGUGUGUGUCUCCGUGGGGUCUAGCCAUGGUUAGUAUUCCCGACCGGUUGCUUCCUGACACUGACACUCACUGCUGCAUCCCUCUCCUAGUGGAUUUCUGACUGUCUCUCUCUCACUCUCUCUCUCUCACUCUUUUUUUUUUCUCUCUCUCUCUCUCCCUCACCCUCUCUAUCUCACUCUAUUUUUCUCUCUCUCUCUCCCUCACCCUCUCUCUCCCUCUUUUUCUCUCUCUCUCUCCCUCACCCUCUCUCCCUCUCUCUCUCCAACCAUAGCUCUCUUUUUCUCAAACACAGCCUACGUGCGCUCCAUCACCAUGGAGACAGACGUGAUGUCAGCCUCAGCCUGCAGAGAAAGUUGCUGCCGCUUAACGAUCAUACUAAUGCAAUCACAUAACUACAUGGCUUCAGUGGAUCGUUCUCAAAUCAGACCAUUAUAUCCCCACCGAUAAAUCACGUCACGGCUGCUCAGGGAUGUAAGCCGGCUUCACCGACCGAGAAUCUCACUGCUGACAGACGGCCGAUAGGUACUUCUCACAGUGCGAGGCCGUACCGUGUCUUUCUAGAACAAACGCGGUACCUGCUGCGUGCCGACCCUGUAGCAACGAACCUGGCUUUUAUAUUUGUAGAAUCGUAAUGCUUGUCAGUGGCCAACAACUUGACUUUGAGCCAAUCAGAGAGCACAAAUCCCAUGUGGGGGAGCCAACAGGAGUGACAACAAAAAGGAAUAAAUAUUUUCUCUGUACAUCCACGGUUAAAUGGCAUGAGCCAGUCACACUUCAAAUGCAAUGUAGGCUAUGGGAUGUUCGCUAAGUGCACAAACGCAAUGCACACAACACUAAAUACUACCUCCAAGCUAGCAAACCACUGUAGCUAGUAUUGACAUUAUAAUGGCAAAAUACAAAAUAUUAUGAACAUUUCAAAAUUGAUUAAAUAUGUUUUUCUCAGCUAUCUACACACAAUUCCCCAUAAAGACAAAGUGAAAACAUUUUGUUGUUGUUGAAUGUUUGCAAAUUCAUUGAAAAUGAAGUACAGAAAUAUUCAUUUGAAUCACCAUUGGCAGCAGUUACAGCUGGGAGUCUUUCUGGGUAUGUCUCUAAGAUCUUUCCACACCUGGAUUGUGCAACAUUUGUUCUUUAUUCUUUUCAGAAUUCUUCAAUCUCCGUCAAAUUGGUUGUUGAUCAUUGCUAGACAACCAUUUUCAGGUCUUUCCAUAGAUAGAUUUAAGUCAAAACUGUAACUUGGCCUCUUAUGAACAUUCGCUGUCUUUUUGGUAAGCAAUUCCAGGUAUAUUUGGCCUUGUGUUUUAGGUUAUUGUCCUGCUGAAAGGUGAAUUCAUCUCCAAGUGUCUGGUGGAAAGCAGACUGAACCAGGUUUUCCUCUAGGAUUUUACCUGUGCUUAGCUCAAUUUACUUUUUUAUCCUGAAAAACUCCCCCGUCCUUAACGAUUACAAGAAUACACAUAACAUGAUGCAGCCACCACUAUGCUUGAACAUAUUUAGAGUGCUACUCAGUAAUGCGUUGUAUUCAAUUUGCCCCAAACAUAACACUUUGUGUUCAGGACAAAAAGGGAAUUUAUUUGCACAUUUGUCUGUACAGGCUUUCUUCUUUUCACUCUGUUAAUUAGGUAAGUAUUGUGGUGUAACUACAAUGUCGUUGAUCCAUCCUCAGUUUUCUCCUAUCACAGCCAUUAAA